GAUGAACGCUGGCGGCGUGCCUAAUACAUGCAAGUCGAGCGAACAGACGAGGAGCUUGCUCCUUCGACGUUAGCGGCGGUCGGGUGAGUAACACGUAGGUAACCUACCUAUAAGACUGGGAUAACUUCGGGAAACCGGAGCUAAUACCGGAUAAUAUUUCGAACCGCAUGGUUCGAUAGUGAAAGAUGGCUUUGCUAUCACUUAUAGAUGGACCUGCGCCGUAUUAGCUAGUUGGUAAGGUAACGGCUUACCAAGGCAACGAUACGUAGCCGACCUGAGAGGGUGAUCGGCCACACUGGAACUGAGACACGGUCCAGACUCCUACGGGAGGCAGCAGUAGGGAAUCUUCCGCAAUGGGCGAAAGCCUGACGGAGCAACGCCGCGUGAGUGAUGAAGGUCUUCGGAUCGUAAAACUCUGUUAUUAGGGAAGAACAAACGUGUAAGUAACUGUGCACGUCUUGACGGUACCUAAUCAGAAAGCCACGGCUAACUACGUG
rnacentral:rRNA from 1 species